rnacentral:rRNA from 1 species
UAGGGAAUCUUCGGCAAUGGAGGGAACCCUGACCGAGCAACGCCGCGUGAGUGAAGAAGGUUUUCGGAUCGUAAAGCUCUGUUGUUAAGGAAGAACGAGUGUGAGAAUGGAAAGUUCAUACUGUGACGGUACUUAACCAGAAAGGGACGGCUAACUACGUGCCAGCAGCCGCGGUAAUACGUAGGUCCCGAGCGUUGUCCGGAUUUAUUGGGCGUAAAGCGAGCGCAGGCGGUUAGAUAAGUCUGAAGUUAAAGGCAGUGGCUCAACCAUUGUAGGCUUUGGAAACUGUUUAACUUGAGUGCAGAAGGGGAGAGUGGAAUUCCAUGUGUAGCGGUGAAAUGCGUAGAUAUAUGGAGGAACACCAGUGGCGAAGGCGACUCUCUGGUCUGUAACUGACGCUGAGGUUCGAAAGCGUGGGUAGCAAACAGG